AAGCAACCUAAGUGUCCAUCGACAGAUGAAUGGAUAAAGAAGAUGUGGCACACAUAUACAAUGGAAUAUUACUCAGCCAUAAAAAGAAACGAAAUUGAGUUAUCUGUAGUGAGGUGGAUGGACCUAGAGACUGUCAUAGAGAGUGAAGCAAUGCCCCUGACUCUGGUUCUAAAUCCACUCGGCUGCCUUUUUGCUGUUUCACCUCCUGGAAGUAGAUGCACAAGUACAAGAUAACAAUGCCCUGGGACUUAAGGUGUCUUCUUACCUUGCUGUAGGGAGCUGGGUGAAGUGGAGAUGAUUGGCAGAGCAAGAAUUGGGGGCAGGCUGAGGAGGAGGUGGUACCAGGCUAGGGCAGGGUAGGAGUUAUGGGGUGGAGGAUGGAACAAUAAUGAAGAGUCAGGGUCAUCUGAUUUAGAGGAGUCUUUUCUUCCUGCUCUUGGAACUUUGUCUCCUUAGUGCCUCAGGGUCCUUCCCCCAAGCUUCCCAGUUGUUUCCCUGCUCUCCUUUGACAUUCCUUUUCCCCUGUCCUGCCCACCCCCAAGACAAGAUUCCUUCAAGAUAAACUGAGCUUUAAUAGAUCAGCAAGUCCCAGACCCUCAGCUAGUAAUGGCUUUGGAGAUCCUGGAGGACUCACCAGCAUCACAUCUGCUAUCUCCUAGGCUCCAGUAUAUGGUGUUGGCAGGGAGUAGGUGACUCAGUAGGUCUAGAUGCUUGGGUUACGAAGGGGGUCUUAUAAUGGCUUCUAAAAAGCCUCCCACAGUGCUCUGCCAUCUCUCCUCCUCUUUCCGUGUUGGACUGCAGUGGUGCACAUGGCAAGGGAGAAAAUGUUUCCUGCAAGCCAUUCCCCAUGACCACCCCCAUAUCACUGUUCACUCUGUUGUCAUGACCUUAAAGUGCUCCAAGAAAAUAUAGACUUAUUUUCCAGUCUUAGUGGAGAUGUGAACCACCUCACUUAUCUCCAACAAUUUUCUUGUAUGCCCCUUGAACACCAUCCACUUCUUGGUACCAAGCAACUUUCAGAUCCCAUCUCCUUUUCCCAGUGUCCACCAAGAGCUCAGUUUUGCUUUCUAGUCUGAAAUUACUGCCUUCAGAAUAUCAAGACUUCAGUUAAUAAACUUGAAAUAGUCAUCUCAACAGA